GACAGAGGGUGCAAACGUUUGUUCGGAAUUACUGGGCGUAAAGCGGGUGUAGGCGGUUUGGUAAGUCGGAUGUGAAAGCCCCGGGCUUAACCUGGGAAUGGCCAUGGAAACUGGCGAGCUGGAGUCUGGCAGAGGGGGGUGGAAUUCCGCGUGUAGCAGUGAAAUGCGUAGAGAUGCGGAGGAACACCGAUGGCGAAGGCAGCCCCCUGGGCUAAGACUGACGCUGAGGCACGAAAGCGUGGGGAGCAAACAGGA
rnacentral:rRNA from 1 species